rnacentral:SRP_RNA from 1 species
GCCCAUCAUGGCGAGUGAUGCCUCUAAUCCCAAGUAGGCUAAGAUUGGAGGAUCUCUUGAGCUCAGGAGUUCUGACCUAAAGUAGACUAAAGAUGAUUGGGUGUCUGUACUAAGUUUAGCAUUAAUUUAGUGAGACCCCAAGGGCUAGGGGUUACCAGGUUAGAUAAGGAAGAUUGAACUGGCCCAGGUCAGAAACAGAGCAAGUCAAAGUCCCCAUGCUGAUCAGUAGUGGGAUCAGGCCCAUGAGUAGACCCCUGCACUUCCAGCCUGGGUAAUAUAGGGAGGCUAAGACUAA